rnacentral:rRNA from 1 species
AGUGAACGCUGGCGGUAGGCCUAACACAUGCAAGUCGAACGGCAGCACAGUAAGAGCUUGCUCUUACGGGUGGCGAGUGGCGGACGGGUGAGGAAUACAUCGGAAUCUACUUUUUCGUGGGGGAUAACGUAGGGAAACUUACGCUAAUACCGCAUACGACCUACGGGUGAAAGCAGGGGAUCUUCGGACCUUGCGCGAUUGAAUGAGCCGAUGUCGGAUUAGCUAGUUGGCGGGGUCAAGGCCCACCAAGGCGACGAUCCGUAGCUGGUCUGAGAGGAUGAUCAGCCAGACUGGAACUGAGACACGGUCCAGACUCCUACGGGAGGCAGCAGUGGGGAAUAUUGGACAAUGGGCGCGAGCCUGAUCCAGCCAUACCGCGUGGGUGAAGAAGGCCUUCGGGUUGUAAAGCCCUUUUGUUGGGAAAGAAAAGCAGCAGGUUAAUACCCCGCUGUUCUGACGGUACCCAAAGAAUAAGCACCGGCUAACUUCGUG